UCUAAACUUGGAUCCGCAGCCCUGCUCCAAGCCAUGUUUCUUCUUUCAUCUCUGUCAGAUGCUGACCAAAAGCCUGAAUGAGCUUGCUUAUCCUGGAGCUAGGUGCUUUGUGACCCCUUCUCUGAAGGCCCUGCUCCAUCUAUCCUGCAGUUUUACACAGCUCUCCCUCCAUCACUGAACCUGCCAGCCGUCUCAGACCCUAACAAAAAGGAUUUGGGAAGGUGGAGACAGGUUAUACCGGUGUAGCUGAUCAUUGGGAUCAUGUAAUGAAACCCUCCAGCAUGCCAACUGUUGAGUCAAACACUUGACAAUCCUGAAAUGGGGCAAGUGGAAAGCCUUAAUCAGCAACAAAUCCCCAUCUAGUGUUUCACAGAAGAGGAAACGAAAACCCAAGAAGACGAUGUGCCUUUUUCAGAGUGGCAAAGCGGCCCUCUGGCAGAGUCAGGGUGUGAAUGCAGCCUGGCCUUGGCGUUCACGCUCACCGGAUCAUAUUUGUAUCUCCCAGAGAUUGACAUUUUCAGAGUCCAGUGAAUCUAAAGGGACCUGUCCAGGUGGGGAGAAACAUCUAGAAAAGCUGCACAAUGUAUUUGGGUCUCAGGUCUUUACUUUCCUGGCCAAGUCUAUGGCUCAAUAGUCCCUGGGGGGAAUCACGGAA
ensembl:processed_transcript F630206G17Rik RIKEN cDNA F630206G17 gene